rnacentral:rRNA from 1 species
AUUGAACGCUGGCGGCAUGCCUUACACAUGCAAGUCGAACGGUAACGGGCCUUCGGGUGCCGACGAGUGGCGAACGGGUGAGUAAUGCAUCGGAACGUACCUUUCAGUGGGGGAUAACGUAGCGAAAGUUACGCUAAUACCGCAUAUUCUGUGAGCAGGAAAGCGGGGGAUCGCAAGACCUUGCGCUGAUUGAGCGGCCGAUGUCAGAGUAGCUAGUUGGGGAGGUAAAGGCUCACCAAGGCGAUGAUCUGUAGCGGGUCUGAGAGGAUGGUCCCGCACAAUGGGACUGGGACACGGGCCCGGCUCCUGCGGGAGGGAGCAGUGGGGAAUGUGGGACAGUGGGGGCAACCCUGAUCCAGCCAUGACGCGUGAGUGAAGAAGGCCUUCGGGUUGUAAAGCUCUUUCGGCCGGGAAGAAAUCGUAAGGCCUAAUACCCUGUGCGGAUGACGGUACCGGCAUAAGAAGCACCGGCUAACUACGUGCCAGCCGCCGCAGUAAAAC